rnacentral:lncRNA from 1 species
CGCUUGCCUGGCAUGCGUGCGGCCUGGGUUCGAUCCUCAGCUCCACAUACAAACAAAGAUGUUGUGUCCGCCAAGAACUAAAAAAUAAAUAUUAAAGAAAAAAAAAGGUAUGAAAAGCAAAAUAAAGGCAGAUGACUUAAAUUUUUAAAAAAUUCUACAUGAGGCAUAGUUGGCACUGUAUAAAUAAACAUGGCAAAAUGUUUGACUUUAGGACUAAUCAAGAACUGCAGAUUAAAAUAACAGUGACAUACCACUUUUAUCUGUUGGCUUGGCAACAGUAAAAAAUAUAUAUAUAAAACAGUGCUGGAAUUACUGAGGGGAAAUGUGUAAUAUUACACACUUUUGAUGGGAGAAAAAAGUGGGAUAAGCUUUUUGGUGGGCAGGUUGAUAACAUGUAAAAAAAUAACUUUCCCUACCCACCCCCAUUUUUAUAGGACUGGGGAUCAAGCCCAGGUCCUCACACAUGCUACAGAAGGGCUCUACCACUGAGCUAUUACUCCCAGCCCCAUGGCUAAAAUCUUUGACAGAGCAAUUUCAUUUCUAGGAAAUUAUUCCAAGAAAAUGUUACAAAUUCUCAAACUUCUGUGUAUAAUGGCAAUGUAGAUGAUGUGUGUUUUUUGUUUGUUGGAUCCUCUUUCUAGAUGUACACUCCUAACCUUGAUGGUUGGUCCAAAACAGAUGUGGGAGGAAUGUACAUCAGGCCACUCUUUCUUUCACAGGGUUAAGUUGAAAAUGGAAAAAGGAGUUGCUCUUGGCUUUCUGGCUGUAAGGUAGGGAUUCUAGAACUAAGAAAUAAAUGACACGGAAAGACAGAAAGUGUUCUGGUAUAAUUUGAGCUGAUUGAUGUGGUUAACCUGAUGGCCAGUGUACUUUCUUCCUUUCUAUGGUUAUUAUGAAAACCAAUUAAAUCUAUCUUUUUGCUAAACACA